UUAUCCCCGAGGGUGGGCACGGAGAGGUGGCCGACCCCCGCCAGCCGUUAGCUCGGUGCAAGGCCGUUAGCAGAGGGCUCGACCAGGUUGGGCGCUGCACAUUAUGGCUCUCUUCUUCACCUGGAAGCCAUCCUUCCCCUAAAAAGCUCGACUACUCCUCCGAGAACGGACGCUGGGAAAGCUCGCUCCCCUCCUGCCGGAGCUCGUGUCCAGGAGCAGUUCCCACGUCCGUCUGUCUGUCCGCUGCUGCCUGAGCUGUGAUCCCUUCCCUUCCCCCCGCCGCCCAUCAGACAAAGGGAGCGAGGCAGAGCGCAGCCCAGGAAGUGCGAGGUGGAAAGCUGCCCUCUUCCUAUUUGGCGACAGCGCCGAUUCCUCGGGGAUCCCACCUGAGAUUAAAGGCUGAAUUUCAAUAAAUCAGCUCUAAUGAAACCUCUGGCC